rnacentral:tRNA from 1 species
GCGCGGGUGGCGGGCCUCGGAGCCCCAGUGCCAGCCGCGGCCGGGCGCGUCGGUGGCGCGGGCGAGCGCGGCGCCGAUCAUCACGGCGUCCGCGCCC